GAUGAGCGCUGGCGGCGUGCCUAAUACAUGCAAGUCGAGCGAACGGACGAGAAGCUUGCUUCUCUGAUGUUAGCGGCGGACGGGUGAGUAACACGUGGAUAACCUACCUAUAAGACUGGGAGAACUUCGGGAAACCGGAGCUAAUACCGGAUAAUAUCUUGAACCGCAGGGUUCAAAAGUGAAAGACGGUCUUGCUGUCACUUAUAGAUGGAUCCGCGCUGCAUUAGCUAGUUGGUAAGGUGACGGCUUACCAAGGCAACGAUGCAUAGCCGACCUGAGAGGGUGGUCGGCCACACUGGAACUGAGACGCGGUCCAGACUCCUACGGGAGGCAGCAGUAGGGAAUCGUCCGCAAUGGGCGAAAGCCUGACGGAGCAACGCCGCGUGAGGGAUGAAGGGCUUCGGAUCGUAAAACUCUGUUAUUAGGGAAGAACAGAUGUGUAAGUAACUGUGCACAUCUUGACGGUACCUAAUCAGAAAGCCACGGCUAACUACGUG
rnacentral:rRNA from 1 species